rnacentral:rRNA from 1 species
GAGUUUGAUCGUGGCUCAGAACGAACGCUGGCGGCAGGCUUAACACAUGCAAGUCGAGCGCCCCGCAAGGGGAGCGGCAGACGGGUGAGUAACGCGUGGGAAUCUACCCAGCCCUACGGAAUAACUCCGGGAAACUGGAACUAAUACCGUAUACGUCCGAUAGGAGAAAGAUUUAUCGGGGUUGGAUGAGCCCGCGUUGGAUUAGCUAGUUGGUGGGGUAAUGGCCUACCAAGGCGACGAUCCAUAGCUGGUCUGAGGGGAUGAUCAGCCACACUGGGACUGAGACACGGCCCAGACUCCUACGGGAGGCAGCAGUGGGGAAUAUUGGGCAAUGGGCGAAAGCCUGAUCCAGCCAUGCCGCGUGAGUGAUGAAGGCCCUAGGGUUGUAAAGCUCUUUCACCGGUGAAGAUAAUGACGGUAACCGGAGAAGAAGCCCCGGCUAACUCCGUGCCAACAGCCGCCGCCGUAAG